UUUCGCCCUCUACCGGCACCAAACCGCGAUGCAGAUAAGCAGAAAAACACAAUACACUGGCCCUAAACGAACCUACAUUUUAAUACGACGCUUAAAUGUAUGUCAUUGCAUUAGAUAACCAAAAAUCAAACUAGAUGGCAGAUGAUACUCCGCUUUUGCCGCAAUUAUAGAGAGCAUUCUGACGUUGUGGCAAACUUUGCUGCCCCUAACAAAGACCAGAAUGCGUUUUCGCUGAAACCUCGAAGAUCUCAAGUUCAAGUAAGUUGCUGUUCAUCCAGCAUCCAUGCUAAAGAGACCACCAAGGAUCCAUCUAACCCAGCACAUAACUGCUGAGAUCACUAAUGGGCUCUGAGCUCUAGUUUCUUUCGAACAGCUGUCAGACAGCUCAGUAAACAUUCCUAGAGUAACCAUAUCACUCCUCAGGGUCACUUUAUGGCCCCCGGAUUGCUCCUUAUUUGUCUGUUGUAUCUCAGUUUGGCUGCUGUAUUUUAUUGCAGAUUAUAUUGUUUAUGUGUACACCAUGUUAGUUCUACCAAAAUAUAUCAAAUAGUUCUAUUGUGUUUACAUGGAAGCUCAUUUCUGCCACACAAGAAAAAAGUAAUGCUUUGGUAAAAAUGAAAAAAAAAAUUGAAAUAAAAAGUCAUGACAUGAAAAGCUGAUUUCUUUGUCAUAAUUGACUUUUUAUGUAUUAAUUAUGACUUUGUCUCAUAAUUUUGAUGGUCAAUUUCGACAUUAUCUCAUAAUUACAACUUAGUUGGUCAUAAAUUUGAAUUUUCAUCUCAUAAAUAUGACUUAGUUUUGACUUUUUUUGACUUCCUGACUGUAAUAUUUUCAUCUUUUUAUCUCACAAUUAUGACAGUAUCUCAUAAUUUUUACUUUUUAUAUCAUAAUUAUGAAUUUACCAAAGCAUUAUUUGUUUAUUUAUGUUGCAGACAUUGGCUUCCAUAGUUUUAUUCUGUUCUGUUUUGUUCUUAAAAACAAAAAUUAAAUAUAUAGUAAGUAAAAUUAAGUUAAAUUGUAUAAUAAAUAUUUUGCUUUUAAGAAAUUAGGACAAAAAGUAUUUGGACAUUUCCUGGUUAUCAAACAUUAGUGGAUCCUGUCCAUAGUUAAUGUGACCUGAGUGAAAUUGGCUUUAUAAAAAUCACUAUAAGACCUUAAGUUGGUUAAAAGUACAUGCAAAAGUGAAGUUAGUUCUGAGAAUAAUUUUAUUUCUAAUCCAAUGAAACACCAGCUCGCAUCAUCACUGACUGCGUCUCGACUGCCAGAAACUUAUGGUUGCCUUGAGGUGGGGGAUUUUCUUUCACUUUUACUGCGCUUUGUGAAGACGGGUGGCGGGCUGAUUCAUUAAGAGAAAGUCUUGACCACAAGAUGUACAGCAGCACAAAUACUGAUAUGAAACGGCACCGCAAUACAUGCCUGGAGCUCAAUGUCAUAAACUCAGAAAUGUGAGAAAACUGAAUGAUAUGAAGAAGUAGGAGUUUUCAAAUAAAUCUUGCUAUGCUUUUGGCUCAUUUGCGCUUUAUAAAAAGUGGAAAAUACGUUUUCUGACAAGACAAAUUGAUCCGUAAUGUCUGCUUUUCACAGGAGUAAUUCCAUGUCAACUCAACCAGAGGACAGCGAUGACACCGUUGAUCUCUGUGAGGAAACGCUGCAGAUCUCCAUGUUAGUGAAGGAGCUCCCGGCCUCACUGCUGCAUUCUGGGUAUGAAGAACUAGAGGAUAUGAUGUUCUUCAGCCUGUGGAGAGCAAUGAUCAACAGGGCAACCUGCAUAUCAGUGGGCUCAUAAGCUGGUGCAGCUUGUUGUUAGGCCACCGCCGGUCCAUUAGGACUUUGGGGUGGUCACACCGGCUCAGUGGUGCACACAGAAGAGAGUCUGGCGCAGGCUGGCAUAUGGAGGGAGCUUUGGAUGCAAGCAGUGGGGCAAAGCUAUGCAUGUCAAUAGGACAGAGGCGUCAUGCCUCCUGGGAAGGUCUUAUCUCUUCUGCUCUGUGCACUAAAGACACGGAACACAGAUUAUGGAUCGGCGCAAAGCAAAGCAUGACUGUCUGGCGCAGCUCGCUUUUGCUAUUGUUUUGUGAAGCAUGAAUGGGAAUUCUGUUUCGGUAGUAACGAAUGCUUGUGUUCUUAAUACUCAAUCAUCAUCACUGAUUCAUCUUGAACCAGUAAAAAACUCUCUGUUCCUCUUAAAGGGAAAGUUCACCCAAAAAAAUAAAAAUUCUGUCAUCAUUUACUCACCCUCAUGUUAUUUCAAACCUGUCUUUCAACUCUUUUUGUCAUCACUGAAAACAUAGUUAUGUAUGUUAUAUUACAUAGUUAUGUAUGUUAUAUUGCAUUUCUGUCAAUGUUCAUUGUUCAUUUCAAGUUUUUUUCUCAUCCAAUCAUUUUUGUCCAUGCAAAGAAGGUCAGUGAAGUUGAAUCCAUUGAUCCUCACUGAAUUUCACAGUGUAAUGUAAAAAAAAACAAAGAAAUUUAUUUUUAAAAAAAUGGCUGUAUGAGUUCAGUACAUGACAUACAGUGAGUCUCAAAUUCUUCCUUCUUAU